CCUACGGGUGGCAGCAGUAGGGAAUCUUCCACAAUGGGCGCAAGCCUGAUGGAGCAACACCGCGUGAGUGAAGAAGGGUUUCGGCUCGUAAAGCUCUGUUGUUGGAGAAGAACGUGCGUGAGAGUAACUGUUUACGCAGUGACGGUAUCCAACCAGAAAGUCACGGCUAACUACUGGCCAGCAGCCGCGGCAAUACGUAGGGGGCAAGCGUUAUCCGGAUUUAUUGGGCGUAAAGCGAGCGCAGGCGGUUGCUUAGGUCUGAUGUGAAAGCCUUCGGCUUAACCGAGGAAGUGCAUCGGAAACCGGGUAACUUGAGUGCAGGAGAGGACAGUGGAACUCCAUGUGUAGCGGUGGAAUGCGUAGAUAUAAGGAAGAACACCAGUGGCGAAGGCGGCUGUCUGGUCUGCAACUGACGCUGAGGCUCGAAAGCGUGGGUAGCGAACAGGAUUAGAUACCCUGGUAGUC
rnacentral:rRNA from 1 species